ACACUCCUGCGGGAGGCAGCAGUGGGGAAUUUUGGACAAUGGGCGAAAGCCUGAUCCAGCAAUGCCGCGUGCAGGAUGAAGGCCUUCGGGUUGUAAACUGCUUUUGUACGGAACGAAAAAGCUCAUUCUAAUACAGGGGGCCCAUGACGGUACCGUAAGAAUAAGCACCGGCUAACUACGUGCCAGCAGCCGCGGUAAUACGUAGGGUGCGAGCGUUAAUCGGAAUUACUGGGCGUAAAGCGUGCGCAGGCGGUUAUGUAAGACAGAUGUGAAAUCCCCGGGCUCAACCUGGGAACUGCAUUUGUGACUGCAUGGCUAGAGUACGGUAGAGGGGGAUGGAAUUCCGCGUGUAGCAGUGAAAUGCGUAGAUAUGCGGAGGAACACCGAUGGCGAAGGCAAUCCCCUGGACCUGUACUGACGCUCAUGCACGAAAGCGUGGGGAGCAAACAGGAUUAUAUACCCGUGUAGUCCCAUG
rnacentral:rRNA from 1 species